rnacentral:rRNA from 1 species
GACGAACGCUGGCGGCGUGCCUAAUACAUGCAAGUCGAACGAGUGGCGGACGGGUGCGUAACACGUGGGAACCUACCCAUCAGAGGGGGAUAACACUUGGAAACAGGUGCUAAUACCGCAUACUGAUGUAUGGACCCUCGGUGCAUUAGCUAGUUGGUGGGGUAAAGGCCCACCUAGGCGACGAUCCCUAGCUGGUCUGAGAGGAUGACCAGCCACACUGGAACUGAGACACGGUCCAGACUCCUACGGUAGGCAGCAGUGGGGAAUAUUGCACAAUGGGCGCAAGCCUGAUGCAGCCAUGCCGCGUGUAUGAAGUAGGCCCUAGGGUUGUAAAGUACUUUCAGUCGGGAGGCGUUACCGACAGAAGAAGCACCGGCUAACUCCGUGCCAGCAGCCGCGGUAAUUC